UGGGAAAUUUUAACCCUGACUAAUGUUUUUAGAUUAUAAUGCCUGAGUUAACCUACUAAACAAGAACAAUGGAGCCAAGUCUUGUUGUCCUGUAUCUGUUUUUCUGGGCCAGUGUUUAUACCUCAGCAUAUGAUGUUGAUGAAAAUCUCAGAUGCCCAGACCCUGAGCGACAAAUAAAUAAUGCCAUUUUGAAAAGAGCAAAUCUGAAGAAAUAUUAUCAGGAAGGCAGCACAGUACAAUACAAGUGUAAAGCAGGCUAUUACUUUGAAAAUGGGCUCCAAGCCACAUGUUUAGCAGGAAAAUGGGAUUACCCACAAUGCAUAUCAUUGGGUGAAAAUCUUAGAUGUCGAGACCAUAAACGAGUGAUAAAUAAUGCAAUUCUGAGUAAAAAUAAAUCUGAAGGCGUACUAUCAGGAAGGUGGCGCAGUACAAUACAAGUGCAAAGAGGGGUAUUACUUGGAAAAUGGGCCCCUAGCCACAUGCACUGAAGGAAAAUGGUAUUACCCACAAUGCAUACCAAAAUGCAAACAAAAAGAAAAAAAAACAUUCCCAUCAUCUCACACCCUGCUACCCAUCACUUUAUCUGGACCUUCA